rnacentral:rRNA from 1 species
CAUAGCGACUAUCGUGGCAUAUCAAUAAGCGGAGGAAAAGAAACUAACAAGGAUUCCCCUAGUAACGGCGAGUGAAGCGGGAAGAGCUCAAAUUUGAAAUCUUCAAGGUUGACCUUGACGAAUUGUAGUUUAAAGAAGUGUUUUCGGUUAGAGGAGUAGUAAAAGUUCUUUGGAAUAGGACAUCAUAGAGGGUGAGAAUCCCGUAUUUGACUAUUCUUUCUAGCUUUGUGAUACACUUCCAAAGAGUCGGAUUGUUUGGGAAUGCAGUCCAAAAUGGGUGGUAAAUUUCAUCUAAAGCUAAAUAUUGGCGAGAGACCGAUAGCGAACAAGUACCGUGAGGGAAAGAUGAAAAGAACUUUGAAAAGAGAGUUAAACAGUACGUGAAAUUGUCAAAAGGGAAGCGUUUGACACCAGUGUUGUUUAGUUGAAAAUCAAUUCAAUAAUUUUUGAUUUUAAGUAGUAUUGACUUCAUCAGCUUGCUGCUUUCUUUUCAGGAAUUAUUGAAUGCACUUUUCAGUUAACAAGUCAACAUCAAUUUCUUUUGUUGUAAAAGGGUAAGAGGAAGGUGGCUUACGCUUCGGCGUAAGUGUCUAUAGCCUUUUACCUCUGCAAUCGGAGAGAUUGAGGACAGCAGCGUAGACUCUUCGGGGUUAGAUACACUUGUGCUAAGCUAUAGCCUUGUAUAGACAACUUGUUGACUAUGCUCAGUCAUGUAGCUUACUCGCUUGUGCUAUUUUACCUACGCUUAGGAUGUUGACGAGACUGUCGAUCUC